rnacentral:rRNA from 1 species
CAAUAGCGUAUAUUAAAGUUGUUGCAGUUAAAAAGCUCGUAGUUGGAUUUCGGGGCAGCCUGGCUGGUCCGCCGCAAGGCGAGUCCUGGUCAGCCGCCCUUCCUCUCGAAAGCCCCGACUGCUCUUCGUUGCAGUGGUCGGGUAGUUCGGGACGUUUACUUUGAAAAAAUUAGAGUGUUCAAGGCAGGCCUACGCCUGAAUACAUUAGCAUGGAAUAAUGGAAGAGGACCUCGGUCCUAUUUUGUUGGUUUCCAGGGCCGAAGUAAUGAUUAAGAGGGACAGUUGGGGGCAUUCGUAUUUAAUUGUCAGAGGUGAAAUUCUCGGAUUUAUGAAAGACGAACAACUGCGAAAGCAUUUGCCAAGGAUGUUUUCAUUAA